rnacentral:rRNA from 1 species
AGAGUGAACGCUGGCGGUAGGCCUAACACAUGCAAGUCGAACGGCAGCACAGUGGUAGCAAUACCAUGGGUGGCGAGUGACGGACGGGUGAGGAAUACAUCGGAAUCUACCUUUUCGUGGGGGAUAACGUAGGGAAACUUACGCUAAUACCGCAUACGCCCUUCGGGGGAAAGCCGGGGAUCGCAAGACCUGGCGCGGAUAGAUGAGCCGAUGUCGGAUUAGCUAGUUGGUGAGGUAAUGGCUCACCAAGGCGACGAUCCGUAGCUGGUCUGAGAGGAUGAUCAGCCACACUGGAACUGACGACACGGUCCAGACCUCCGUACGGGAGCAGCAGGUGGGAAUAGUGGAACAGUCGGGCACAAGCCUGACUCCGAGCCAAGUACCCGCGGU